UAUAAAUAUAUGCAGUGCAAUAUGAGGAACCAACGAUGGUUUGUAUAUAUCAAGUGUAGAUUCAUGAAUGGCUUUGGUAAGAACAGAAGCAUUACACUAUCUUAUUUCGAAUGCAUCAAAAAUCAACGGACGAUGUUGUUAAUCAAAAACACUAUGUCAUCUUUCACAGCAGAGACAUUACAAUUCAUAAGAUUGCAGAGGUAAGAAGUUUUUAUGAAUGCUCCUUUUCGGCUUCUGCUGCAUAAUGCAGAGCAGAAGUCAUGGCUGGAUUCAUAAGGAUACACCAAAAACGUUAAUUGGCAGCAUCAUCGGUGUAUUCCUUAAUUACACUGUCUCAGAUCAAACACAUGCAUUGGUAGUGACAGUCACCGAAUUCCAAUGCAGACUGCAUUAUUUGAAACGACAAAAAACUUGACGAAAAGUUCGGCCAAUGUAGUUCACUUACUUCUAGAUGCUUUAAUUGUUAGCUUUAUAUUUUCCGAAAAUUUCUCUGUUUUUUCUCAACAAACUUCGUUCGUUGAGCCACCUAUGUUAUAACAGUGAUAUCGCAAUUUACCAUAUACCAUAGUCUCGUGUUUUGUAACUUAUGAAAGUUUUCGUGAGUAAAGUAAAUGCAUGU